ensembl:lncRNA
AUGCAAGAACAUGUUGUUUCAGCUGAUGGACUCCUUGCCUAUAGGCCUGGCUGCAGCCUUCUCCUAAAUUGCUUCUAUAAGAAUAAGGAGGUAAGUUUUUAUUCAGGGACAUAUGGCAGUAGCCCUUUGCUGUUGCCUUGGUCACCUCAUUUGGUCCCCACGGGACUGGUCCUUCUUCUAGUUCUUUGUACUUCCAUCUUCUCCCAGCUGUAUAUACCAUCCCUUUCAGCACAAUAUCAGUACUUUGUGACUUUUUUUUUUGUUUUGGGGUUUGCUUUUUGUUUUUGUUAUUUUGUUGAUGAUUCUCUACACAAGUGCCCUUUAUUCCAUUGUGGGGUUGGAGCCCCUACACAGCUCUCUCCAGUCAGUGUCUGCUUGCAGCUGGGCUGCCCAUUGCCAUGCUGCCCUGCUGCCCCACUGGUAGUGCUUGCUUGGCUCAGCCAGCAGGGCAGCACUCCCUGCCUCACGGGCAUUAGAUAGUCUUAUUCUUUUUUUCUUCUUCUUCUUUUUUUCGGGGGAGGGAGGAAGCAGAGAGGAAGAGCAGCUGUUUUUUUUGAAAUGCCUUCACUUCCUUUUAAACACUCCUGCAGAGUCACGUGUUUUGCUCUUCGGAAACAUCAGCUCUGCCUUCAUGAAACAACCCAGAUGCCUGAGACUGUGGGUGAGUAAAGGCAAGGUUAUGUGGGAGCAGGGGACGCGAGACUGGAGUGGGGACUUACCAGCUGCCUGCCCCAGGGCACAGCUAAGCUUCGUAGAGCAGCUCUGGGGACCAGCAACCAGGCAGACUGUGUCUGUGGCUUUGAUACCGAAGGCUGAAUGGUCCCCAUAUCACCCGAGGAGAUUGCUCGUGUACAGCGUUUCUGCCUUGGUAGCUGCAGUUACAGCUGUACUGGUCCUUGCUCCUCUACUUUAGCAAUAUCAGACACAGGCCCAUUGGCAACUAGAUUUCAGCUUAUGGGCAGCAAAGGACAGACAUCAGAUAGCUGUAAGAUUAAAUGUUUGGUGAGCCUGUUCAGCUGUUUUUUCUCACUCCCAUUGCAAUGCACUGGCCUUUGCAUGCAAUAGUACAAGUGCCACAGCCAGUGGCUUUUUGGGCUGUCCUGCUUCCCCCCAUUGGAGUUACAUGCUUUAACAGGAGGUGGGUCCUGCUGGCAUGCACAGCAAUUAGUCAGAAGCAGCUGGGCUGAUACCAACCAUUACAGCAUGCAAGGGAGAUGCUUACAUUGUCUCUCUCCACUGCCUAGGGUAGGAGAUUAAGCUCCCUGUAUCAUCAGUGGUAAAAAAGUCCCUGGGGAGCCAUUCAGAGCAUAUUAACUUCCCACUCUGAAUCAUGCCCUGGAAGAUGUGGUCUCAUUAUUGCCUGCAUAAAGGCCAUGGAAAGACUAAGCUUGUUUGUUAGUAUUAAGCAGGACGGCUCUAUCCAUGUGAUUAGCUUUGCCUCAGUCUAAGGCCUGUGGUUGCAGUGUAAGAUGCUCAUUGCACUGCCAUGUGCAAUCUAGAGGCAAGUAACUGGCUGCAGGGCUCUGCAGUAGGGCAAAGAAGGUGAUGCAAGGUCCAAAAAGAAAAAAAAGAAAAGCUGGAAAGAAUCAGCAGGCCUGAGGAGAAGCUGGUGCUUCUCCCCUUCUAUUUGAACUGCAACUUUUCUCAAAACCGGUGUCUAGCAGCAGACAUCAGAAAAAAAAAAAAAGCAGCAGACAUCAGGAAAAAAAAAGAUACAAACUCAAUGCAGUUUAAAAAAAAAAAAAAGAGAGAGAGCGAGCUCUGGAUGUGCUGAAGCCAAGCAACUUCCGAAUACAUCAUCUCCCACCCAGUCUGGUUCCUUUGUGACAGGCAUUUGUAAUGAGGUCUUAAAAAAAAAAAAAAUAAAGUAGAAAGUAUAAAAAAAUUUUUAAAGCCC